UUUCCGUAGGUGAACCUGCGGAAGGAUCAUUAAAGUUAUAGUCCCCCGGCCCCUCCGGGCUGGGGUCUUCUAUACCACCCUUUGUUUAUUACACCUUUGUUGCUUUGGCAGGCCUGCCCUCGGGCUGCUGGCUCCGGCCGGCUCGUGCCUGCCAGAGGACCUAAACUCUGUUUGUAUAUGAAGUCUGAGUACUAUACAAUAGUUAAAACUUUCAACAACGGAUCUCUUGGUUCUG
rnacentral:misc_RNA from 1 species